rnacentral:rRNA from 1 species
CCUACGGGUGGCAGCAGUGAGGAAUAUUGGUCAAUGGACGAGAGUCUGAACCAGCCAAGUAGCGUGAAGGAUGACUGCCCUAUGGGUUGUAACCUUCUUUUAUAAAGGAAUAAAAAGAGGCACGUGUUCCUUUUUGCAUGUACUUUAUGAAUAAGGAUCGGCUAACUCCGUGCCAGCAGCCGCGGUACUAAGGAGGAUCCGAGCGUUAUCCGGAUUUAUUGGGUUUAAAGGGCGCGUAGAUGGGUUGUUAAGUCAGUUGUGAAAGUUUGCGGCUCAACCGUAAAAUUGCAAUUGAUACUGGCAGUCUUGAGUACAGUUGAGGUAAGCGGAAUUCGUGGUGUAGCGGUGAAAUGCUUAGAUAUCACGAAGAACCCCGAUUGCGAAGGCAGCUUACUAAACUGUGACUGACAUUGAUGCUCGAAAGUGUGGGUAGCAAACAGGAUUAGAUACCCUUGUAGUC